UACGAAGGGGGCUAGCGUUGCUCGGAAUCACUGGGCGUAAAGGGUGCGUAGGCGGGUCUUUAAGUCAGGGGUGAAAUCCUGGAGCUCAACUCCAGAACUGCCUUUGAUACUGAAGAUCUUGAGUUCGGGAGAGGUGAGUGGAACUGCGAGUGUAGAGGUGAAAUUCGUAGAUAUUCGCAAGAACACCAGUGGCGAAGGCGGACUCACUGGCCCGAUACUGACGCUGAGGUGCGAAAGCGUGGGGAGCGAACAGG
rnacentral:rRNA from 1 species